rnacentral:rRNA from 1 species
GCCGCGUGGAGGAUGACGCAUUUCGGUGUGUAAACUCCUUUUACGAGUCAAGAACAUGACGGUAGCUCGUGAAUAAGCACCGGCUAACUCCGUGCCAGCAGCCGCGGUAAUACGGAGGGUGCAAGCGUUACUCGGAAUCACUGGGCGUAAAGGAUGCGUAGGCGGAAGAUCAAGUUGAGAGUGAAAUCCUAUGGCUUAACCAUAGAACUGCUUUCAAAACUGGUUUUCUAGAAUGUGGGAGAGGCAGAUGGAAUUGGUGGUGUAGGGGUAAAAUCCGUAGAGAUCACCAGGAAUACCCAUUGCGAAGGCGAUCUGCUGGAACA